GGUAACUGUCACCGGCCGCGGCCGUUUGUGUCCGCCCGAGCGCCGACAGGUGUGCCGGCCUCGCGGGCAAUUUAUUGCUGUGUGGGCCUUGGGAAGGAGGAAAACCACCCUCAGAACCUGGAAAAAGCAGGAAAAUGAAGUGUUGGGUUUGGAAACGAACACACGCGAGGUGAGAAAAUCCAGGUGUGGUCACACGCUGGGUACCUGGAGAGGUGCUGGGGGCAGCACGAGCUGUUCUCCUUCCUCCUUGCCUUAUUUGUGCUGGGAAUUCUCUGUUCCCCGUGGGGACACGGAGCUGCUGGAGAAAACAACAAUAAAUGGCAUUGUCACGCA